GGUCAGUUGUGAUGAUUUCUACAAUGGGAAUCUCUCUGAAAAUAAUCAUGGAGAGUAUUGUUUCUGAACUGGCC